rnacentral:rRNA from 1 species
UUUCCNNAUGNGCGAAGCCUGACGGNGCAANANCCGCGUGGAGGGANGAAGGCUCUUGGGCUGUAAACCUCUUUUCUUUGGAAAGACGCUCUGNCGGUNCUCNAGAAGGAAAUCAGCACUCGGGCUAACUCUCGUGCCAGCAGCCGCGGUAAUACAGGAGGAUGCAAGCGUUAUCCGGAAUNAUUGGGCGUAAAGCNUCCGUAGGUGGCUGCUNAAGUCUGUGGUUAAAACCAAGUAGGCUUUAACUACGUGAGGGGCAGGUGGAAACUGAAUAGCUAUGAGUGCGGUAGGGGUAGAGGGAAUUCCCAGUGUAACGGUGAAAUGUGCAGAGAUUGGGAAGAACACCGGUGGCGAAAGCGCUCUGCUGGACCACANNCNNCACUUNCAAGACGAAAGCUAGGGGAGCGAAAGGGAUUAGAUACCCUUGUAGUCCUAACCGUAAACGAUGGAUACUAAAGUGCUGUCGAGUAUAGACCCUCACAGUANCCNGAUCCAACACCGCNUAACUGNUCCNGNCUGGUCGAGUACACACANCACUCAGUGAAACUCACAAGAAUGGACAGGNAAGGGCGACANUNGCAG